GCUGGCCUUGAACUCACAGAGAUCUGCCUGCCUCUGCCUCCCGAGUGCUGAAAUGACUAUUUUUAUAACAUGGAAAUGCCUUCUAGAGAAUCACAUUUAGUCUUUUGAAAGUGCCAAGGUCAGCUGGGUGUGGUGGUGCCCACCUUCAGUCCCAGUACCUAGGAGGCCAGGCAGGACUGUCUCAACUCUGAGGCCAGCCUAGGCUACACAAGUGAAUAGCAGGCCUGUGGUGUACACACGUGUAAUCUCAGCACUUAGGAAGAUGCGUUUGAAGUCAGCCGAGCUCCAGACAGAGACCCUGUCUCAAAGUAGAAAGCACACAGAAGCCUGCCAAGGUGAGGCUGAGUUUCAUGCCAUAUUCUUGGGUUGGAGCCAAGUUACCAUUUAUAACCUGUUGGGUGCCUAAUCAAGAAGAAACAAGCUUUUCUGUUUACAAUGAUGCAAUGUGGACACGUGUUGGUCACCUUUGGACUGCUCUUACUGAUCUGUAAUUUAGAAAGGCCGGGCUGGCUGCCCCAGCCUCCCCGACCUGCCUGUAAGAAGGCAUGAACGCAGACUAAUAAAGCCAGUGUGGUGCACUGUGA